AGUGAACGCUGGCGGUAGGCCUAACACAUGCAAGUCGAACGGCAGCACAGUAAGAGCUUGCUCUUACGGGUGGCGAGUGGCGGACGGGUGAGGAAUACAUCGGACUCUACUUUUUCGUGGGGGAUAACGUAGGGAAACUUACGCUAAUACAGCAUACGACCUACGGGUGAAAGCAGGGGAUCUUCGGACCUUGCGCGAUUGAAUGAGCCGAUGUGGGAUUAGCUAGUUGGCGGGGUAAUGGCCCACCAAGGCGACGAUCCGUAGCUGGUCGGAGAGGAUGGUCAGCCACACUAGAGCUGAGACACGGUCCAUGCGCCUGCGGGAGGCAGCAGUGGGGAAUAUGAGGCAAUGGGCGCAAGCCUGGUCCAGCCGUACCGCGUGGGUGAAGAAGGCCUUCGGGUUGUAAAGCCCUUUUGUUGGGAAAGAAAAGCAGCAGGUUAAUACCCCGCUGUUCUGACGGUACCCAAAGAAUAAGCACCGGCUAACUUCGUG
rnacentral:rRNA from 1 species